rnacentral:rRNA from 1 species
GUGCCAGCAGCCGCGGUAAUACGUAGGGGGCGAGCGUUGUCCGGAGUUACUGGGCGUAAAGAGCGUGUAGGCGGUUGAAAAAGUCAGGUGUGAAAUUCUUCGGCUCAACCGAGGGACUGCGCCUGAAACUUUUCGACUGGAGUUCGGGAGGGGCAACUGGAAUUCCUGGUGUAACGGUGAAAUGUGUAGAUAUCAGGAGGAACACCCGUGGCGAAGGCGGGUUGCUGGACCGAAACUGACGCUGAGACGCGAAAGCGUGGGUAGCAAACAGGAUUAGAUACCCCAGUAGUCC